rnacentral:rRNA from 1 species
UACAGAGGUCUCAAGCGUUGUUCGGAUUCAUUGGGCGUAAAGGGCGCGUAGGCGGCUCGGCACGUCCGUUGUGAAAUCGCCCGGCUCAACUGGGCGGGGUCGGCGGAUACGGCCGAGCUGGAGCAAGCUAGGGGGUAAUGGAAUUCCCGGUGUAGUGGUGGAAUGCGUAGAUAUCGGGAGGAACACCAGUGGCGAAGGCGGUUACCUGGAGCUUUGCUGACGCUGAUGCGCGAAAGCGUGGGGAGCGAUCCGG